rnacentral:rRNA from 1 species
UCUACGGGUGGCAGCAGUGAGGAAUAUUGGUCAAUGGCCGGAAGGCUGAACCAGCCAAGCCGCGUGGAGGACGAAGGUGCCAAGCAUUGUAAACUUCUUUUGUCAAGGGACAAAUUCAGGCUCGAGAGCCUGACCGCGGGUACUUGUAGAUAAAGCAUCGGCAAACUCCGUGCCAGCAGCAGCUGUAAUACGGGGGAUGCGAGCGUUAACGGGGUGUAUUGGGGUAAAGGGGGGCGAAGGCGGACUGUUAAGUGAGCGGUAAAAGCCGGGGGCUAAACCCCGGAGUGCCGUUGAAACUGGCUGUCUUGAGAGGUGGAGAGGUAUGCGGAAUGCGCAGUGUAGCGGUGAAAUGCUUAGAUA